GAUGAACGCUGGCGGCGUGCCUAAUACAUGCAAGUCGAGCGAACGGACGAGAAGCUUGCUUCUCUGAUGUUAGCGGCGGACGGGUGAGUAACACGUGGAUAACCUACCUAUAAGACUGGGAUAACUUCGGGAAACCGGAGCUAAUACCGGAUGAUAUUUUGAACCGCAUGGUUCAAAAGUGAAAGACGGUCUUGCUGUCACUUAUAGAUGGAUCCGCGCUGCAUUAGCUAGUUGGUAAGGUAACGGCUUACCAAGGCAACGAUGCAUAGCCGACCGGAGAGGGAGAUCGGCCACCCUGAAAAUGAAACAAGCUCCGAACUCCACGGGGAGGGGCCGGUGGGGAACUUCCCGAAAUGGGGGAAAGCCUGACGGAGAAAGCCCGAGUGAGUUAUAAGGGUCUUGGGAUCGUAAAACUGUGUUAUUGGGGAAAAACAUAGUUGAAAGUAUCUGUACACUUCUUGACGGUACCUAAUCAAAAAGCACCGGCUAACUACGUC
rnacentral:rRNA from 1 species